GUUAGGAUUGCCGAGCGGUCCAAGGCGCUGCGUUGAGGUCGUAGUCCAGUUCUCUGGGCGAGGGUUCGAAUCCCUCUUCUGACA
rnacentral:tRNA from 1 species